rnacentral:rRNA from 1 species
CAAUAGCGUAUAUUAAAGUUGUUGCAGUUAAAAAGCUCGUAGUCUGACCGUUGUCCUGGCAUUGAGCGUCCGUGGUUACUGAUCAUGUGUACGCGAGGUGCUGGACACUACCUUCGGAGGAGCGUUCGUGCUUUUAACUAAGUGCGUGCGGGAUUCCGAUAGUUUACUUUGAGAAAAAUAGAGUGUUCAAAGCAGGCGUUUGCCUUGAAUACAUUAGCAUGGGAUAAUGAAAUAGGACGUUGGUUCUAUUUUGAUGGUUUACGGACCGACGUAAUGAUUAAUAGGGACAGUUGGGGACAUUUAUAUUCCAUGGCUAGAGGUGAAAUUCUUGGAUUCAUGGAAGAUAAACUACUGCGAAAGCAUUUGUCAAAGAUGUUUUCAUUGAUCAAGAACGAAAGUUAGGGGAGCAAAGAUGAUUAGAUACC